CGCCGGCAGCGGGAGGCCGGGCCCCGGCGGCCGGAGCCGCCCCCGGCUCCCUCGGGGGGGGGGGCCGGCAGCACCGGGGGGCGGCCGAGCCUCGAGCGGUGCCGUGGAGUCGGGGAGGCGCCGGAGCAGGCACAUGCGGGUUGCAUGGCAGCGUGAUGGAGCAACUGCUUAUCUACCCCAAGGAGACUGGCUUCCAGAGCAUCAAUACAGCAGUGCUUCCCAAGUCUAUAAAUAUCUCAGCUGAGAAUUGAGCCUAACACUAAAAGAACUGCGCUUCUAGAGGUGUAAUAUAAAGUGGAGUCUUUCAUCAAUGUAUUUCAUCGUUACGCCCUGCUCGAAGCAGAAAGGGGGCUGCUGUGGUUUGCUCAUCGUGCAUCUUUGAGCUGUGCGAGGAGAUGACAAAGAGGAAACAUGCUGUGUGCUGUUGUGCAUUUUAAAGGCUUUAACUCAGAAGAAUUUGGCCUCCAGUGGGUGUGGCAUAUCUUUUAUCAAAUGUAUUUGAGAAGCCUUUCAUAAUGUACAGUCACAUGAAAGAUGCAAGCCAGCUCCAUGAGUGGAGAGGAAACCUAUGGAAAAUUCAUGAGCCAUAAAGUGGAUCGUUCUGUCUUGCCAUUCAGCAGAUGAAAAUAUGCCAAAUCCCAAAAGCUUAAUAUUCAAGAAAGAUGUCAGCAUGCGUACAGAAUGGGAAGCCUCCCUGUCUAAUUACAAUGAAGGAGCUGUUGGCCCUUUCUCCUGCCAUGUCAAGAACUUAACGAGAGCUCUAUUUUAAUCUUGUUCUUUUGAUACCAGUCUUUGAAGCUGGAGUCUACCUUUGGAAGGCUGGAGAGGCAAUGCUAUAUCUAGAAGAACAG